rnacentral:rRNA from 1 species
UACGAAUGGGGCUAGCGUUGCUCGGAAUUACUGGGCGUAAAGCGCACGUAGGCGGAUUGUUAAGUCGGGGGUGAAAUCCUGGAGCUCAACUCCAGAACUGCCUUCGAUACUGGCGAUCUCGAGUUCGGGAGAGGUGAGUGGAACUGCGAGUGUAGAGGUGAAAUUCGUAGAUAUUCGCAAGAACACCAGUGGCGAAGGCGGCUCACUGGCCCGAUACUGACGCUGAGGUGCGAAAGCGUGGGGAGCAAACAGG